UACAGAGACUGCAAGCGUUGUUCGGAUUCAUUGGGCGUAACGGGUGCGCAGGCGGUGUGUUAAGUCGGAUGUGAAAUCUCACAGCCUAACUGUGAUAGGUCAUUCGAAACUGGCAUGCUAGAGGACGGGAGAGGAGACUGGAAUGGUCGGUGUAGCGGUGAAAUGCGUAGAGACCGACAAGAACACCGGUGGCGAAGGCGGGUCUCUGGACAGUGCCUGACGCUGAGGCACGAAAGCCAGGGGAGCAAACGGG
rnacentral:rRNA from 1 species